UACGUGGGGUGCGAGCGUUGUCCGGAAUUAUUGGGCGUAAAGAGCUCGUAGGCGGUCUGUCGCGUCGAUCGUGAAAACUUGGGGCUUAACCCUGAGCUUGCGGUCGAUACGGGCAUGACUGGAGUUCGGCAGGGGAGACUGGAAUUCCUGGUGUAGCGGUGAAAUGCGCAGAUAUCAGGAGGAACACCGGUGGCGAAGGCGGGUCGCUGGGCCGAUACUGACGCUGAGGAGCGAAAGCGUGGGGAGCGAACAGG
rnacentral:rRNA from 1 species